rnacentral:rRNA from 1 species
UACGUAGGGUCCGAGCGUUGUCCGGAAUUACUGGGCGUAAAGAGCUCGUAGGUGGUUUGUCGCGUUGUCCGUGAAAACUCACAGCUCAACUGUGGGCGUGCGGGCGAUACGGGCAGACUGGAGUACUGCAGGGGAGACUGGAAUUCCUGGUGUAGCGGUGGAAUGCGCAGAUAUCAGGAGGAACACCGGUGGCGAAGGCGGGUCUCUGGGCCGAUACUGACGCUGAGGAGCGAAAGCGUGGGGAGCGAACAG